rnacentral:rRNA from 1 species
GACGAACGCUGUCGGCGUGCUUAACACAUGCAAGUCGAACGGAAAGGCCCUGCUUUUGUGGGGUGCUCGAGUGGCGAACGGGUGAGUAACACGUGAGUAACCUGCCCUUGACUUUGGGAUAACUUCAGGAAACUGGGGCUAAUACCGGAUAGGAGCUCCUGCUGCAUGGUGGGGGUUGGAAAGUUUCGGCGGUUGGGGAUGGACUCGCGGCUUAUCAGCUUGUUGGUGGGGUAGUGGCUUACCAAGGCUUUGACGGGUAGCCGGCCUGAGAGGGUGACCGGCCACAUUGGGACUGAGAUACGGCCCAGACUCCUACGGGAGGCAGCAGUGGGGAAUAUUGCACAAUGGGCGGAAGCCUGAUGCAGCAACGCCGCGUGCGGGAUGACGGCCUUCGGGUUGGAAACCGCUUUCGCCUGUGACGAAGCGUGAGUGACGGUAAUGGGUAAAGAAGCACCGGCUAACUACGUGC